UUCAACAUUAGUGAAGCUGAAGCAAUGCUCUCACAUGAAGAAGGUGCUUGCUGAUAGAAUUAGACACUGUUGUCUAAAAAGUAUUGACGAGGUAGCACUGUUGUCUAAGAAGUAUCAACUGCAACUGUCCACCAAAGCCAAUUCCUUCCAUCAAACAGCGACACCAUCUGGUUUUUUUCGUAGGCUUUUAUCCUACACCAGAUUUGGAAACAUUGCGACGGUGCGAUGCCGUCGACCUGCAUUGCAUGCUGUAGUUGGAUGGAGCUUUAAAAGCUACAGCUUGACAGAAAAUGACUUGAGAUUUGGGGUGAGAGAUCAGGAUGCUUCCUCCAUUUUUGGCCCCACCGUGAUCUUUUGAUGAUAUACCAUACUUCUCAGUAUUGUCCCCAUACGCCUUCUUAUCAUAUGGUCAGGUUUUGGAAGCAACGAAAGAGGAAAGGCCAUGGAGUGAAACUGUAACAAAAGGUAUGCGGAUGGCGAUAUCGGAUUCCAUCAACAGUAAGCAACUGAAAAUCACAAAGCACAUGACAUCUAUCUAUACAUAGAUGUGCAGCUUUUCACAAAGAAAGUUGCAGCAAGGUUAUCGGUACCAGACAUCUCUAGCCCAGAAAAGCAAAACAAAGCGAGGGGAGCGUUCCCUUUUGACUAGACUUUACACGCUCUUUGCUGCAACUUUCAUGGAAAGAUUUCAUUAAGAGUUGGUUGAUGAUAAAAUUCGCAUAAUUGGGCACUUUCACUUUGCGGUUCUGUAAAGAUUCAUUCAUGUCAAAGCACCCACUCC